UACGUAGGGGGCUAGCGUUGUCCGGAAUCAUUGGGCGUAAAGAGCGUGUAGGCGGUCCGGUAAGUCCGCUGUGAAAGUCGGGGGCUCAACCCUCGAAUGCCGGUGGAUACUGUCGGGCUAGAGUGCGGAAGAGGCGAGUGGAAUUCCUGGGUGUAGCGGUGAAAUGCGCAGAUAUCAGGAGGAACACCUAUUGCGAAGGCAGCUCGCUGGGACGUGACUGACGCUGAGACGCGAAAGCGUGGGGAGCAAACAGG
rnacentral:rRNA from 1 species